GGCAGCAGUGGGGAAUAUUGCACAAUGGGGGAAACCCUGAUGCAGCCAUGCCGCGUGUGUGAAGAAGGCCUUCGGGUUGUAAAGCACUUUCAGUCGUGAGGAAAGGAGUGUAGUUAAUAACUGCAUUCUGUGACGUUAGCGACAGAAGAAGCACCGGCUAACUCCGUGCCAGCAGCCGCGGUAAUACGGAGGGUGCAAGCGUUAAUCGGAAUUACUGGGCGUAAAGCGUGCGUAGGCGGAUUAUUAAGUCAGAUGUGAAAUCCCGGGGCUCAACCUCGGAACUGCAUUUGAAACUGGUAGUCUAGAGUAUUGUAGAGGGUGGUGGAAUUUCCAGUGUAGCGGUGAAAUGCGUAGAGAUUGGAAGGAACAUCAGUGGCGAAGGCGGCCACCUGGACAAAUACUGACGCUGAGGCACGAAAGCGUGGGGAGCGAACAGGAUUAGAUACCCUGGUAGUCCACGCCGUAAACGAUGUCAACUAGCUGUCUGUGGACUUGAUCUGUGGGUAGCGUAGCUAACGCGCUAAGUUGACCGCCUGGGGAGUACGGCCGCAAGGUUAAAACUCAAAUGAAUUGACGGGGGCCCGCACAAGCGGUGGAGCAUGUGGUUUAAUUCGAUGCAACGCGAAGAACCUUACCAUCCCUUGACAUCCACAGAAGCGACUAGAGAUAGACGUGUGCCUUCGGGAACUGUGAGACAGGUGCUGCAUGGCUGUCGUCAGCUCGUGUUGUGAAAUGUUGGGUUAAGUCCCGCAACGAGCGCAACCCCUAUCCUUACUUGCCAGCACAUAAUGGUGGGAACUUUAAGGAGACUGCCGGUGAUAAACCGGAG
rnacentral:rRNA from 1 species